rnacentral:rRNA from 1 species
GACAGAGGCCCCGAGCGUUAGGCGGAAUCACUGGGCUUAAAGCGUGUGUAGGCGGAUCGUUAAGUGUCUUGUGAAAUCCCACGGCUCACCCGUGGAACUGCUGGGCAUACUGGCGAUCUUGGGCCAUUCAGGGGCGACUGGAACAAGCGGUGGAGCGGUGAAAUGCGUGGAUAUCGCUUGGAACGCCGAAGGUGAAAACAGGUCGCUGGGGAUGUGCCGACGCUGAGACACGAAAGCCAGGGGAGCAAACGGG